CCAAACAUCGCAAUGGCAAUUCAGGCACGUGGGGAAUGAAUUUCAAAUUGAAUUUAAAAGAAAAAAUGCGCUAGGAAAUGGAAAAUGAGCCCAGGUUGGAUGGCCAUCAUGGGCCACCAUGCCGAAGGCCACCUCCGGUGGCAGUGAGAUGCCAAAACAUAAAAUUCAAACCACUGUUUGAAGCGCCACAUGAUGUUGAUUAAGAGUAUGGAAGUGGAUUUGUGAAAAUCUCAAAGAUAAGCUUGAAUCGUAGGCGAGGAGUUAAGAACCCUAGGUUGCUUUAGGUUAAAUUAAAUGACAUUUAUGAGGAAUCAAAGCCCCGAACCUUAAGGCUUUGAUUCCUGCCACCUUAAGCUACAUAUCGGUAUCAAGAAAAUGGUGAGAACAAAGGUUUCAGAAUAGUACCUUGCUGGGAGACGAUGAAGCGAUGCCGGAGCUCAGGUGAGGCCAGGAUGCAGGGUUUGGUUAGUCCUCGUGUUGUAGGCAUGUGAUGUAGCAGGUAAGGAUUUUGUGGCUUGGUCUGGAUUGGGACUCGUUGUAAGCCUUGUGUAUGGUUCAUGCUGCAGGUAUGCAUUGGCUGGUAGGACCGCAUCUGUUGAUGGUGGCAUGGCUGCAUGUUCAAUGUUUCAUGGUCUGCUGCAAGUUGGAUGCAAGUUCAUGAGUUGUUGCAGGUUAAAGACUUGGUCUAUUAUUCUUGCGGUGUGCUGCAAGAUUAUUCAUGAGUUGCUGCAACAUGUGAUGAUGUGAAUUGCAGGAGGUUUGGUUGCUUGUGCAACUAGUUCUCUGCAUUGCUGGUUGUAAGUAUGUGUGUGUUGCAGAGUUACAUGGUUUGCAUCUGGUUUUGUUGAAAUGUUCAUGACUGAGUUGUGCAGAAACUGGUCUUACCUUGGCUUGUGGUGGGUGUGAUUUUGGCCAUGGAGCUGACUUGGGCUCAUGGAAUUUUUCUUGCUACAGGUUGGAUGUUGUAAUGUUCUGCAGCAUUGUGUCUUGUAGUCAUGACUAGCUUUGAAAUGCACAUGAUCCUAGGUGAGUUAUAAAUGAAAUGUUGUUAUUGUAGCAUUGUUUUUGUAGCCUUAAUAUGCUUAUGAAUGAAUGGAGGUUGCUUCCUCAUUUGGAGUCAAACUCACAAGUUUGGAAAUGCAUGUUUCAUGGAUGGAAAAUGUGAAGAACAUGGUUUCUUGCAAAUGAAGUAAUUUUGAUCAUGAAGUUGCAAAUGAUGAUGCAAGCAUGACGAGUCAAUCAUGGAAGCCAAAAUUAAGGAUGAAUUAGAUGGGUUAUCUUUGGUCAACUGGUUGACCAAAAAGUCAAUAAUUGACCAAAAGUCAACUUAUGCCAAAAUGUAGUUUUCUUUGUAAUCUUUCCAAUGUAUGGACAUUUAGUGUAAUUGUAUGAAUGAAAUGAAAUUUGGUUUAUAUUAA